rnacentral:rRNA from 1 species
AACCUUUACACUGCACGACAGUGCGAUAGGGGGACACCGAGUGCGAGGGCAUAGAGCCCUCGCUUUUCUGAACCUUAAGGUGGUUCAGGAACAAGGGCUGGGCAAGACCGGUGCCAGCCGCCGCGGUAACACCGGCAGCCCAAGUGAUGGCCGAUUUUAUUGGGCCUAAAGCGUCCGUAGCUGGCCGCGCAAGUUCGUCGGGAAAUCCACGCGCUUAACGUGUGGGCGUCCGGCGAAAACUGUGCGGCUUGGGACCGGAAGAUCUGAGGGGUACGUCUGGGGUAGGAGUGAAAUCCCGUAAUCCUGGACGGACCACCGAUGGCGAAAGCACUUCAGAAGGACGGAUCCGACAGUGAGGGACGAAAGCUAGGGUCUCGAACCGGAUUAGAUACCCGGGUAGUCCUAGCCGUAAACGAUGCUCGCUAGGUGUGGCACAGGCUACGAGCCUGUGCUGUGCCGUAGGGAAGCCGUGAAGCGAGCCGCCUGGGAAGUACGUCUGCAAGGAUGAAACUUAA